AGCUUAUUGAAAGAACAAAAACUACUACACCAAUCCAAACAUAACCCUAAUUUCCGGGCCCCUCUCAAAAUCCUUAAUCCGCGCCGCUAUGUAUAUAUCAUCUCCUUCUUCAUAACUAUUCUGUACACAUCAACUAUAUGUGGUCUCAAAUUUAACCAAACUCACAUGUCUUUGGAAUCCAUUUGUUUGGAGGCGAUGAAGUAAAUAUGGAUGAAAGUCACUAUCAAUCCUUCACAUAAAGCACCAUUAAAAAAAGUCCAGCAAUAUUGAGGCAUUUUAACAAACACCAUGUGUGCAAACAUGAAAUAACUUAAACAUGAGCACCAAAUACAAAGCUAAAAAACCAUAAAACACAACAUCAUAAAAUCUUCAAACAUAAGAUUUUCUAAGCAAACAAACCACAAAUAUGCCACAGUGGUACCUACAGGGAAGCAAAGGUAGAAACAUUCUCUCUACCAAAUAGUGUCAUUGAAUUUUUAUAUUAGUUCAUUUUGGUUAAGAUGAUAGCUAAUGGUAUUGUUAUUGAAUUCUUAGAAGAUGCAAGCUGCAUUGCUCACAGUUUCAUAACUAUUUAUGACUUCUACAUUUUUUAGAAUAAUUUUUUCAAUCACAAAUUGAUUGCUUCCUAAGGAUUGUAUAGGAGCUUGAAGGGUUUGGAGUGUCAACUUCUCAUAUGGUGCAUCGGCAUAUUCUCUGACUAUGCCAAAAUUUGGUUAUAAUCAGUGAAGAAAUAUUUGAGUUAGAUGGGAGUUACGAUUCACAUUUAUUGUCUUUUUUGUUGAAACGAAGGAAAAGAAAGAGGAAAUAAUUGAUUGAUUUCAUGAAAUAUUUUAUUUGGUUGAAGGUAGAGGAGGGAAGAAAUUUUAAUGAAGAAAAAGUUUUAGUUUAUUUUAUAUAUUCUAAUAAUUUUUUGUGUGACAUUUAAUUUAAUAGUAUUUCAGUCAAUACAUUUUAAAAUUGGUCUCUCCUUCAAAUUCUUGCAAUACACUCUAAGAAGCAAAAUUCAGUUGUGAGCAUUUGUCUCCCUUUCCCUAUUUUUCAAAAAGUAAAAAAAAAAAAAUUCAUUAUCUUCCAACCAAAGACCAUGUUAAGGUGACAUGUAGAAACAUCGAAUGAUUGAUGUGUUCCUCCACGUUGGUUCAUUGUAUUUUGCAACUAUAUUAUUAUCCUUCUCUUUGGCUAGGAUGUAUUGUACGAUGUUUUCAGGUUAUAUGCCAAAAUGAUCUUAAGUGCCCGACAUUAGUGGGGGUUCACAAAAUAUAAUUCAUUCCAACUACGUAUGACUACUACUAGCCGAUGGUUAAGGAUGUUUCACAACAUAAAUAAGGUAGUGGCGUUUCUCUUAUCCUUAAAUCAAAUAUCAAGUUGGAAAACAUGUGUUAAGUAUACUCUUGUAGAUAAUUGUGUGAUGAGAGUGCACAUUUAACGCCUAAAAUGGCUACCUUGCCUUUUGUAACACUUUGGAGAAUUAUUGAAUACUCGAAACUCUUA